CAUCUUCUUCAUUUCUUUUCUCCAUGGCUGAAUGUAUCAAGGGAACACCAUGGCUAUGGUUUUUUCAUCUUUCAAGCUUCAUAAUCCCGAAAAACGUGAUUUGGACCUAGAACGAGAGAAAAGCUGAAAAUCGGGAAAGUUGAUCAAAUGGUCGUUUUGGUAUCAAGAGUCUUAUCAAACAAGCUCGGGUUAGAGGUCAUGGAAGAUCGCUUCACACUAUCAACUAUCAAGUUACCAAUUGGGUAUUUUCAUUGACAAACUUUUUAAGUUAUGGCAUGUAUAGGGACUUAGUCAUUUUGUGUGUUUGUCUUUAUGAAAUGGCUAAUUAGGAGUAUGUUUGAUGUUAUGUAUGCCUAAAUGAUAGUUAAUACAAAGAAAUAAUAAAAGAGUAAAAAUUUGCAAUGGUACAGUUUUUGGAUAGCAGCAAUGAUGUGAUUUUUAAAAAUCACCAAAAUUAGUAGAAAUGGAAUUAGAGAGUGAAUGAGAUAU